CCUACGGGUGGCAGCAGUAGGGAAUCUUCCACAAUGGGCGAAAGCCUGAUGGAGCAACGCCGCGUGGGUGAAGACGGUCUUCUGAUCGUAAAACCCUGUUGUUAGAGAAGAAAGUUCGUGCGAGUAACUGUUCACGUUUCGACUGUAUCUAACCGGAAAGCCACGGCUAACUACGUGCCAGCAGCCGCGGUAAUACGUAGGUGGCAAGCGUUAUCCGGAUGUAUUGGGCGUAAAGGGAACGCAGGCGGUCUUUUAAGUCUGAUGUGAAAGACUUCGGCUUAACCGGAGUAGUGCAUUGGAGACUGGGAGACUUGAGUGCAGAAGAGGAGAGUGGAACUCAAGGUGUAGCGGUGAAAUGCGUAGAUAUAUGGAAGAACACCAGUGGCGAAAGCGGCUCUCUGGGCGGUAACUGACGCUGAGGUUCGAAAGCGUGGGGAGCAAACAGGAUUAGAUACCCGAGUAGUC
rnacentral:rRNA from 1 species